rnacentral:rRNA from 1 species
GACGAACGCUGGCGGCGUGCCUAAUACAUGCAAGUCGAACGCUGAAGAGAGGAGCUUGCUCUUCUUGGUUAAGUUGCGAACGGGUGAGUAACGCGUAGGUAACCUGCCUGGUAGCGGGGGAUAACUUUCGGAAACGAUAGCCAAUACCGCAUAAAAUGCAUUAUCGCAUGAUAAUCUAUUGAAAGGUGCAAAUGCAUCACUACCACACGGAUCUGCGUUGUUUUAGGUUGGUGGUGGGGUAACGGCUCACCAAGGCGGCGAUACAUAGCCGGCCUGAGAGGGUGGACCGCCAACCUGGGACUGGGACACCGCACAGACUCCUACGGGAAGGCGCAGGAGGGAAUCUUCGGCAAUGGGCGGAAGUCUGGCCGAGGAACGCCGCGUGAGUGAAGAAAGUUUUCGGAUCGUAAAGCUCUGUUGUAAGGGAAGAAAGGGUGUGAGAGUGGAAAGUUCACACUGUGACGGUAUCUUACCAGAAAGCGACGGCUAACUACGUG